CCAAUAGCGUAUAUUAAAGUUGUUGCAGUUAAAAAGCUCGUAGUUGAAUUUCGGGAUCAGUAGGUUGGUCGUGCCACUGGUAUGCACUGGCCUUACUGAUUCCUCCUUCUUGUAGAACCAUAAUGCCAUUAAGUUGGUGUUGCGGGGAAACAGGACUGUUACUUUGAAAAAAUUAGAGUGUUUAAAGCAGGCUAACGCUUGAAUACAUUAGCAUGGAAUAAUGAAAUAGGACGUUCGAUCCUAUUUUGUUGGUUUCUAGGAUUGACGUAAUGAUUAAUAGGGAUAGUUGGGGGCAUUAGUAUUCAAUUGUCAGAGGUGAAAUUCUUGGAUUUAUUGAAGACUAACUACUGCGAAAGCAUUUGCCAAGGAUGUUUUCAUUAAUCAAGAACGAAAGUUAGGGGAUCGAAGACGAUCAGAUACCGUCGUAGUCUUAACCAUAAACUAUGCCGACUAGGGAUCGGAUGAUGUUAAUUUUUUAAUGACUCAUUCGGCGCCUUACG
rnacentral:rRNA from 1 species